rnacentral:tRNA from 1 species
UUCCCUGUAGCUCAGUUGGUAGAGCAUGGUGUUUGCAACGCCAGGGUUGUGGAUUCGAUUCCCACGGGGGACC